UACCAGCUCUCCGAGUGGUAGGGAUGAUUAUUGGGCUUAAAGCGUCCGUAGCCAGCUUAGCAAGUCUCCUGUUAAAUUCAGCGACCUAAUCGUUGAGCCGCGGGAGAUACUACUAGGCUAGGAGGCGGGAGAGGUCAACGGUACUUCCGGGGUAGGGGUGAAAUCCUAUAAUCCCGGGUGGACCACCAGUGGCGAAGGCUGUUGACUAGAACGCGCUCGACGGUGAGGGACGAAAGCUGGGGGAGCGAACCGGAUUAGAUACCCGGGUAGUCCCAGCUGUAAACGAUGCGAGCUAGGUGUUGGGGUGGCUACGUGCCACUUCAGUGCCGCAGGGAAGCCAUUAAGCUCGCCGCCUGGGGAUACGGCCGCAAGGCUGAAACUUAAAGGAAUUGGCGGGGAGCACCACAAGGCGUGAAGCUUGCGGUUC
rnacentral:rRNA from 1 species